UCUAACAUGUACGCGAGUCAUUGGGAUUUUAAAGCCUAAAGGCGUAAUGAAAGUGAAGGUCGGCCCUAGUGCCGACCGAUGGAGGAUGGCUCGCGUCACGAUGCGAGCCCGCACUCCAGGGGCGUCUCGUGCUCAUUGCGAGCAGCGGCGCACCCAGAGCGUACACGUUGGGACCCGAAAGAUGGUGAACUAUGCCUGGUCAGGACGAAGUCAGGGGAAACCCUGAUGGAGGUCCGUAGCGAUUCUGACGUGCAAAUCGAUCGUCGGAACUGGGUAUAGGGGCGAAAGACUAAUCGAACCAUCUAGUAGCUGGUUCCCUCCGAAGUUUCCCUUAGGAUAGCUGGCACUCGCUUGAGCGAGUCUCAUCUGGUAAAGCGAAUGAUUAGAGGCCUUGGGGCCGAAACGACCUCAACCUAUUCUCAAACUUUAAAUGGGUGAGAUCUCUGGCUUUCUUGAACGUUGAAGCCACGAGAAAUCAUGGAUCAGAGUGCCAAGUGGGCCAAUUU
rnacentral:rRNA from 1 species